rnacentral:rRNA from 1 species
CCUACGGGGGGCAGCAGUGAGGAAUAUUGGUCAAUGGACGAGAGUCUGAACCAGCCAAGUAGCGUGAAGGAUGACUGCCCUAUGGGUUGUAAACUUCUUUUAUAUGGGAAUAAAAUGUUCCACGUGUGGGAUUUUGUAUGUACCAUAUGAAUAAGGAUCGGCUAACUCCGUGCCAGCAGCCGCGGUAAUACGGAGGAUCCGAGCGUUAUUCGGAUUUAUUGGGUUUAAAGGGAGCGUAGGUGGAUUGUUAAGUCAGUUGUGAAAGUUUGCGGCUCAACCGUAAAAUUGCAGUUGAAACUGGCAGUCUUGAGUACAGUAGAGGUGGGCGGAAUUCGUGGUGUAGCGGUGAAAUGCUUAGAUAUCACGAAGAACUCCGAUUGCGAAGGCAGUUCACUGGACUGCAACUGACACUGAGGCUCGAAAGUGUGGGUAUCAAACAGGAUUAGAUACCCGGGUAGUC